CCUACGGGAGGCAGCAGUGGGGAAUAUUGGGCAAUGGGCGCAAGCCUGACCCAGCCACGCCGCGUGAAGGAAGAAGGCUUUCGGGUUGUAAACCUCUUUUGUCAGGGAAGAGUAGAAGACGGUACCUGACGAAAAAGCCACUGCGAACAACGUGCCAGUAGCCGCAGUAAUACGGAGGAGGCGAGCGUUUACCGGAUUUACUGGGUGUAAAGGGCGUGUUGGCGGGUUGAGAAGUCAGAUGUGAAAUCCUGCGGCUUAACCGCAGAAGUGCGUUUGAAACUGUUGUUCUUGAGUACUGGAGAGGCAGAUGGAAUUCGUGGUGUAGCGGUGAAAUGCGUAGAUAUUAGGAGGAACUCCAGUGGCGAAGGCGGUCUGCUGGACAGCAACUGACGGUGAGGCGCGAAAGCGUGGGGAUCAAACAGGAUUAGAUACCCUAGUAGUC
rnacentral:rRNA from 1 species